rnacentral:rRNA from 1 species
UACGGGGGGGGCGAGCGUUGUUCGGAAUUACUGGGCGUAAAGGGCUCGUAGGCGGCCAACUAAGUCAUACGUGAAAUCCCUCGGCUUAACCGGGGAACUGCGUCUGAUACUGGAUGGCUAGAGUUCGGAAGAGGCGAGUGGAAUUCCCGGUGUAGCGGUGAAAUGCGCAGAUAUCAGGAGGAACACCGAUGGCGAAGGCAGGUCUCUGGGCCACUACUGACGCUGAGAAGCGAAAGCAUGGGGAGCGAACAGG